rnacentral:sRNA from 1 species
AGUGGUCACUGAGUUAGAGCUUAACAGUGUAGAAAAUCCACCGCCGGACACGAUCAAAGAGG